rnacentral:rRNA from 1 species
UACGAAGGGUGCAAGCGUUAAUCGGAAUUACUGGGCGUAAAGGGCGCGUAGGCGGUUGUUUAAGUCUGUCGUGAAAUCCCCGGGCUCAACCUGGGAAUGGCGAUGGAUACUGGGCAGCUAGAGUGUGUCAGAGGAUGGUGGAAUUCCCGGUGUAGCGGUGAAAUGCGUAGAGAUCGGGAGGAACAUCAGUGGCGAAGGCGGCCAUCUGGGACAACACUGACGCUGAAGCACGAAAGCGUGGGGAGCAAACAGG